rnacentral:lncRNA from 1 species
UAAAAAAAAAAUAUGUUCGCACGAGUACGGUGUUUGUCUGUUUUCCUAUUCAAACUACGCAAUUUACGUGUUCAAAUGUGACUAGUGACGUAAUAGCGAACAAUGUUAACCGCGCACAGUGGGCUGAUAUAAACCGUGAUAGCGUUAGUAACGCCUGGAGCGUGAAUGUUCUGUUAUCGACUGUUAUAUCACACUGCUGUUACCUAAUGUGUUUUGAAUAAACGCGUAAUUGCUUGACAAAGUGCCAUGUGUGAAGAUUUGACAAGCUGUUGUGCGCUUGGGCAGAAACACAUGACGCGCAAAAAAAUUACCUCAUUUUUGGCUGGAAGUAAAGGACCACACUCGUGUCAAGCCCUGAAUGGACCCUGAAGGGAUGCUUCUUGAAUAAAAGUCUACUCGCCACGGACCGAUACAUAAGUGAUAUAAUUUAAAUAGGCGUGUAUGUAUGAUGCAACGCGCUUAUUGUUACGCUUGGAUGUGGCGACUACGUCAGCGGCUGGUGGAAUGGCUCGUGAUGCAGACUGUAGCUACGCACGCAGCUCUACGAAUAUUUGAUCAUGUGACGAAAGCUGAUAACAUUGUAUUGACUGAACGCUAUUUAAAAAAAAAUGACGCUCGGCUAUAAUUA